rnacentral:rRNA from 1 species
CACGUAGUUAGUCGUGGCUUUCUCAUAAGGUACCGUCAAUUGAUAGUCAUUUCCUCCUAUCACCUUUCUUCCCUUAUAACAGAAUUUUACAACCCGAAGGCCUUCUUCAUUCACGCGGCGUUGCUCGGUCAGGCUUUCGCCCAUUGCCGAAGAUUCCCUACUGCUGCCUCCCGUAGGAGUCUGGGCCGUGUCUCAGUCCCAGUGUGGCCGUUCACCCUCUCAGGUCGGCUACGCAUCGUCGCCUUGGUAGGCCUUUACCCCACCAACUAGCUAAUGCGCCGCAGGCUCAUCCAUCAGUGAUGCCAGGAGCAUCUUUAAACUUUCGUCCUAUCCGGUAUUAGCGAUCGUUUCCAAUCGUUGUCCCCGUCUGAUGGGCAGAUCACCUACGUGUUACUCACCCGUUCGCCGCUUCCCACCGAAGUGGUUCGCUCGACUUGCAUGUAUUAGGCACGCCGCCAGCGUUCAUCCUGAGCCAGGAUCAAACUCU